rnacentral:rRNA from 1 species
GUCGAGCGGAACGAGUUAUCUGAACCUUCGGGGAACGAUAACGGCGUCGAGCGGCGGACGGGUGAGUAAUGCCUAGGAAAUUGCCCUGAUGUGGGGGAUAACCAUUGGAAACGAUGGCUAAUACCGCAUAAUGCCUACGGGCCAAAGAGGGGGACCUUCGGGCCUCUCGCGUCAGGAUAUGCCUAGGUGGGAUUAGCUAGUUGGUGAGGUAAGGGCUCACCAAGGCGACGAUCCCUAGCUGGUCUGAGAGGAUGAUCAGCCACACUGGAACUGAGACACGGUCCAGACUCCUACGGGAGGCAGCAGUGGGGAAUAUUGCACAAUGGGCGCAAGCCUGAUGCAGCCAUGCCGCGUGUGUGAAGAAGGCCUUCGGGUUGUAAAGCACUUUCAGUCGUGAGGAAGGUAGUGUAGUUAAUAGCUGCAUUAUUUGACGUUAGCGACAGAAGAAGCACCGGCUAACUCCGUGCCAGCAGCCGCGGUAAUACGGAGGGUGCGAGCGUUAAUCGGAAUUACUGGGCGUAAAGCGCAUGCAGGUGGUUUGUUAAGUCAGAUGUGAAAGCCCGGGGCUCAACCUCGGAAUUGCAUUUGAAACUGGCAGACUAGAGUACUGUAGAGGGGGGUAGAAUUUCAGGUGUAGCGGUGAAAUGCGUAGAGAUCUGAAGGAAUACCGGUGGCGAAGGCGGCCCCCUGGACAGAUACUGACACUCAGAUGCGAAAGCGUGGGGAGCAAACAGGAUUAGAUACCCUGGUAGUCCACGCCGUAAACGAUGUCUACUUGGAGGUUGUGGCCUUGAGCCGUGGCUUUCGGAGCUAACGCGUUAAGUAGACCGCCUGGGGAGUACGGUCGCAAGAUUAAAACUCAAAUGAAUUGACG